GACGAACGCUGGCGGCGUGCUUAACACAUGCAAGUCGAACGGAAAGGCCCUGCUUUUGUGGGGUGCUCGAGUGGCGAACGGGUGAGUAACACGUGAGUAACCUGCCCUUGACUUUGGGAUAACUUCAGGAAACUGGGGCUAAUACCGGAUAGGAGCUCCUGCUGCAUGGUGGGGGUUGGAAAGUUUCGGCGGUUGGGGAUGGACUCGCGGCUUAUCAGCUUGUUGGUGGGGUAGUGGCUUACCAAGGCUUUGACGGGUAGCCGGCCUGGGAGGGUGACCGGCCACAUUGGGACUGAGAUACGGCCCAGACUCCUACGGGAGGAAGCAGUGGGAAAUAUUGCACAAUGGGCGGAAGCCUGAUGCCGCAACGCCGCGUGCGGGAUGACGGCCUUCGGGUUGUAAACCGCUUUCGCCUGUGACGAAGCGUGAGUGACGGUAAUGGGUAAAGAAGCACCGGCUAACUACGUG
rnacentral:rRNA from 1 species